rnacentral:rRNA from 1 species
GACGAACGCUGGCGGUAUGCUUAACACAUGCAAGUCGAACGAGAAGAUCAGUUAAGAACCUUCGGGGGAAUAAGUGAUUGGAAAGUGGCGAACGGGUGAGUAACGCGUGGGUAACCUGCCCUAUGGAAAGGAAUAGCCUCGGGAAACUGGGAGUAAAGCCUUAUAUUAUGAUUGUGUCGCAUGGCAUGAUCAUGAAAACUCCGGUGCCAUAGGAUGGACCCGCGUCCCAUUAGCCAGUUGGUGAGAUAACAGCCCACCAAGGCGACGAUGGGUAACCGGUCUGAGAGGGCGAACGGUCACACUGGAACUGAGACACGGUCCAGACUCCUACGGGAGGCAGCAGUGGGGAAUAUUGCGCAAUGGGGGCAACCCUGACGCAGCAAUACCGCGUGAGUGAAGAAGGUUUUCGGAUCGUAAAGCUCUGUUAUUGGGGAAGAAAACAUGACGGUACCCAAUGAGGAAGUCCCGGCUAACUACGUGCCAGCAGCCGCGGUAAUACGUAGGGGACAAGCGUUGUCCGGAAUGACUGGGCGUAAAGGGCGCGUAGGCGGUCUGAUAAGUCAGAUGUGAAAGGUACCGGCUCAACCGGUGACNNUGCAUUUGAAACUGUCAGACUUGAGUAUUGGAGAGGCAAGUGGAAUUCCUAGUGUAGCGGUGAAAUGCGUANAUNUUAGGAGGAACACCANUGNCGAAGGCNGCUUGCNNNNACANNUACUGACGCUNAGGUGCGAAAGCGUGGGGA